AUGGCUGUGGGGCCAUGGGCUUGGCCGCUGGACUGCCCCAUCGGCAGCGUGGCCCCGCAGCUCCUCUGCACACCUGGUGCCCAGCACGCUGCCUGCCCGACCCGGCUCUGUGGUGUGAGGAAGGGUAAAGCCCGGCUUUUCUCCUAUUUAUGCUCCUCUCCUGCUGUCCUUAUGCACCAUCUCUUUGCCACUGCCCUCCCUGCCCCCAGCCCUGCCCUGUCUCAGGACCCCUCAUGCACAGGGCAGGGGAAGAAGCGAGGUGAACCCCCAGCAGGCGGUGGUUUCGCAGGGGUCGUGGUGUGCCCAGGCACUGGCACGGUGGCAGAGGAUUUCUGCAGGGGCAAACAGAGCCCUGGAGCUCCCACAGUGUCGCUGCCUGGUGGGUGCCGAGCAGCACAGGAGGGGCCAGGCACUGCUGAGCCCUCAGCUGGGUUUUUCUCCGUGCCUGCUGGUGCGGGGGCAGCAGCCGUGGCUUUGCAGCCCUCAGCAGCUGCAGUGCGCCCUGUGCCCAAGGUCAGCUUGUGUCUGGGGUGGCAAAGCUUCAUACAGACGCUCCAAGAGAGUCAGUGCUGGGGGCAGGGACCCGUCCCUGGGAUUUGGAGCCCAUGGCCCUGCUGCUGCGACCCCCCUGCAGCAGGGCAGGAGCGGACACACAGAGGAAGGGCUGAAAGCUCUGGCCUGGGAGCAUUGCGGGGGCCUGCGGGUCGCUGUGACCGGGCAGCUCCUCCACUGGUGCCUGGGCAGCCAAGGGACAGGGUGAGGCCAGGGGAGGGCUCUGUGCCCCCCUGCCCACAGGUGAUGCUGGUGGAGGUGGCACAGCGGCUGGGCAGGAGGGACGUGCAGGUCAGGCCCUGUGCCGCGGCACCGGGCAGCCGCAGCAGCACGUGGCAGCACGUGCCCAGGGCCUGGGGUGCAGCUGGAGGCCCCGGCAGCACCCCCUGCGUCCACCUCCAAAGCACCGGAGCGAGGAGUGGUAAGAACAGCCCCGUGGUUCUCGGGGCCUGA
rnacentral:lncRNA from 1 species